rnacentral:rRNA from 1 species
ACGCUAGCGGCAGGCCUAAUACAUGCAAGUCGAACGAUACUCUUUAGCUUGCUAAGGAGGAAAGUGGCGCACGGGUGCGUAACGCGUAUGCAACCUACCUUAAUCAGGGGGAUAGCCCGAAGAAAUUCGGAUUAACACCGCAUAAAAUCACAGUACAGCAUUGUACAAUGAUCAAAUAUUUAUAGGAUUAAGAUGGGCAUGCGUGACAUUAGUUAGUUGGCGGGGUAACGGCCCACCAAGACCACGAUGUCUAGGGGAUCUGAGAGGAUGACCCCCCACACUGGUACUGAGACACGGACCAGACUCCUACGGGAGGCAGCAGUAAGGAAUAUUGGUCAAUGGAGGCAACUCUGAACCAGCCAUGCCGCGUGCAGGAAGACAGCCCUCUGGGUCGUAAACUGCUUUUAUUCGGGAAUAAACCUAUCUACGUGUAGAUAGCUGAAUGUACCGAAGGAAUAAGGAUCGGCUAACUCCGUGCCAGCAGCCGCGGUAAUACGGAGGAUCCAAGCGUUAUCCGGAUUUAUUGGGUUUAAAGGGUGCGUAGGCGGCUUUUUAAGUCAGGGGUGAAAGACGGUGGCUCAACCAUCGCAGUGCCCUUGAUACUGAAGAGCUUGAAUGAACUAGAGGUAGGCGGAAUGUGACAAGUAGCGGUGAAAUGCAUAGAUAUGUCACAGAACACCGAUUGCGAAGGCAGCUUACUAUGGUUAAAUUGACGCUGAGGCACGAAAGCGUGGGGAUCAAAC